ACUAGGGUUGGUGUCGGUCGACA
rnacentral:siRNA from 1 species